AAAAAUAAUAAACAAGUUAAAAAUAAAUUAAAAUAGAUUAUUUAUAAAUUUAAAUUUCUGUAACACUGCUAACAAUGUCAUCUUCAAUUAAAAAGGAAAGUUGUCUAGUGGUAGAAAAAGAACAAAUAAUAAGAAAUAAUGUGCUUCUGGUAGUAAUUACCACUGUUCACUAAGUAUAUCUGCUUCCCUACCCUUCUGGGCACAUGGUAGUUUUGUCCUGCCUUGAUCCAGUGAAGUUAGGGGUAGCCAUGUGACUGGCUUUGGCCAAAGAAAUGAGAGUGAAUGUGGUGUCACUUUCAGGUGGAAACUUUAAAAGCCAGUGAGGGAUUUGCCAUAUUCCUGAUUUCUGCCUGAGUGAUCAUGGAAGCAUGUGAUACUCCGUAAUUCUGAAUUCCAGAAAGUACGUAGUGAACAGUCUGUGUGCAGAUCUGUGAUGGAAGAGUGUGAGUGAGAGACAGACCUUUGUUGUUUAAGCCACUGAGUAUAAAUGAUUGCUGUUCAGGCUCAUCAAACCACCACCUGUGGGCCAGUUGCCUGUUUUGAUAUAAUUUUACUGGAACAUAGGGAAGACAUUUGUUUCUGUGUUGUCUGUGUCUACGUUCAUGCUACAACUGAAUUGACUAAUUACAGCAGAGACCAUGUGGCCUGCCAGCUGAAAAUAUUUACUAUCACUCUUCAAGAAAAAGCUUGUUGACCUCUGACCUAGGCUAUCCUAACUAUGAUAGAACUGAAAGUCUUUGAUAAGUGUCCUUUUAUGGCUACUUCCUGUUUUGUACACAACACAAAAGAUAUAGUAGCUAGCUAGCUAGCUUCCAAGAUGGCAGCGGUGAUCCCCAACCCUGAACACAAGGCUAUUCACAUCUCUGUGCACUUCCUUCCCACACUGAGCAGGGCUGACUUGUGUAACCAAUGUGGAAGUAAUGGAGCGUGACUUCCACGUUUGGGUCAUUAAAGAUCGUGUGACUCCCAUCUGCCUCUCUCUGAGACCACUCACUCUGGGAGAAGCCACUACCAUGUUCCAAGGGCACUUGAAGCCUUAGGGAGAAGCCACAUGGUGAGAAAACGAGGCCUCCUGACAACAGUUAUGUGGGUCAAGCCCUCAGAUGAUUGCAGCCUCAGCCAAGGUGUUGACUACAUGAGUGCUCUGAGCCCAAAUCACCCAGCCCUUCCGAAUUGCAGAGGAGAUUGAGCUAGAAGUGUUUUCUUCCCCCAGAGCACACUGCUGAUAUUUCUUGGCUCAUCUCACCGAGACCAGACAUGGACCCCCUGCACACAGGGUCAUAGGAUUUGUUCAGCCGUGACCAAGAAUCUCCAGUUGUAUGGCAUAGUAGCUGAAAUGGAAAACCGCACUUUUUACCUUGACAUCUCCUCCAUCCUAGUUUUUCAGGAUUGAUGAUUGGGGUAAGCGUAAAAACUUUUCAGUGGCUUCUUAGAUAAGAUACCAAAAGCACAAGCAACAACAAAAGAAAAAAUACAUAAAGUGAACUGCAUCGAACUUUAAAACGUUUGUGUUUCAAGGAACAGCACCAAGAAAGAAAAGACAGCUCACAGGAUGGGAGAAAAUGCUUGCAAAUCAUGUAUCUAAUGCACCUCAGUAAUAAAAAUGCAACCCAACUAAAAAAUGGGCAAAAUCUCUGAGUAGAAAUUUCAACAAAGAAAAUAGAAAGAUGACCAAAAGCACAUGAAAGGACGCUUAGCACCCUUAAUCAUCAGGGAAUGGUAAAUCAAAACCCUCGUGAAAUACCCCUUCACAUGCACCAGGGUAACUAUGAUCAGAGAGAUAACAACAAGGAUGUGGAGAAGGAGUCCCCAGACACUGCUGGUGGGAAUGUCAAGCGGUGCCAUCACUUCGGAAAAUAGUCUGGCAGUUUCUCAGAUGGUUAAAGAUAGAGUUAACAUCUGCCCCCCAGUAAUGUCACUGCCAGGUGAAUUCAUUUCUCACCAAAGAGAAUUGGAAACACAUGUCUGCACAAAAGCUUGUAUACAAGUGCUCAUAGCAAUAUUAUUCAUAGCCAAAAUAUUCAUAUUCAUAGCAGUAGUAUUCAUAGCCAAAGAGCAGGAAAAAACCUUAAAUAUCCAUCAACUGGUGAGUGGAUAAACAAAAGAUGAUUUAUCUGAAGAAUAUGAAACACUAAUUUGAAAAGAUCUCUGUACUCCUCUGUUCACCGCAGCAUUGUUUACAGGAGCCAAGAUAUGGAAGUAGCCCAAGUGUCCGUCCGUAGACGAGUGGAUGCAGAAGAUGUGGAGAUACAUACGAUGGAAUAUUACUCAGCCAUAAGAAAGGAUGAAAUCUAGCCAUUGGCAACGACAUGAAUGGACCUUGAGGGUAUUAUGGUAAGUGAAGUAAGUCAGAUGGAAGAGGACAAAUUCUGUGUGGUUUCACUUAUAGGUGGAAUCUAAAAAACCAAACGAACGAACCAACAAAACGAAAACAAAUUCACAGAUAUAGAGAAUGGAGUGGUGGUUGCCAGAAGGGAAAGGGGUUGGGGGUUGGACGAAAUGGGUAAAGAGCUCAGCUGUAUGGUGAAGGGCAGUAACUAGACUCUUUGUAGUGUAUACAAAUAUCGAGUUAUAAUGUUGUACACCUGAACCUUACAUAAUGCCGUAUACCAAUUUUACAUCAAUAAAAAAUAUGAAAUA